AAAUAAAUAAAUAAAAUUUUUAAAAAAAUUAUAAAAAAAAAAAAAAAAUCCAAGCAAUAAAACCAACAAUAACGAUGCUAUUGUUUUUUUCUUCUGUUUCAGACUUUAUAUAUACCUCUCUACCAUUCCUUUACUCAGAACCUCAGACUCAAAAAACACUCACUUUUCUCUCUCAUCCAUUUUUUUUCCAGAGAAUCCAAUUCAAAUCCUGUGCUAUAAUUUUCACAAAGACUUCAAUCUCCAUUAUAAUUAAUACUCAUCAAAAAGCUAUUACUUUACUUAGCUUCCAUGGCAGCUUUUCAGCAAUACCCUGCUUCUUUUUUAGUUGACUCUGUUUUCAUGCCCGCCAUUAAAACUCCUGAAAUUGGAGCUUUCAAUGAAUUUAUUGCUAAAUCCAAUCAAUUUUACGCAUCAUCUGAAAAAUCCCAGGACCCUUUUACUAUUUAUAGUCAAGAGGGUUCUUCCAUUGAUAAUGAACCUUCUUCUGUAAGUGAAAAACAGAGGACUGAGAGUUUAUCAAUGGCGGAUAAAGGUGAUAGUAGUGAUCAAAUGACUCAAAGUUCGGUUCCUGUUGAUAAAAAGAGGAAGUCUCGAAAAGGGUCUUCCUCAAAUUCUGCUAAUUCUAAGGAUGUUAAACAAGCUAAGUGUAAGAAACAGAAGGAAGAUAAAGAAGCAAUGAAAGAUACAAGUGAUGAACCACCAAAGGGUUACAUUCAUGUUAGAGCAAGGAGGGGUCAAGCCACUGAUAGCCACAGUCUUGCUGAAAGGGUGAGGAGAGAAAAAAUCAGUGAGAGAAUGAAGACGUUGCAAGCAAUUGUUCCAGGUUGUGACAAGGUCACUGGAAAGGCCCUCAUGUUGGAUGAGAUAAUCAAUUAUGUCCAAUCCUUACAAAGUCAAGUUGAGUUUUUGUCAAUGAAGCUUGCUUCUCUGGACCCCAUGGUAUAUAAUUUUGGAUUAAUGGAUCAUGAUCCUAUGAUGUUUGGAACACAGGCCAUGACCAAUGGCAUGACAUUGCCAAUGCAACCACUAGUGCAACCCACCAGCAACGGCGGUAGUAGCAUUGAUCAACCUCAAGCUUUUGCCACCACAAACGCCGUGAGCUGCUCCACCACGAGCUCGGCUUCAACUCCCACCUUUACUAGCCCUGUUGUUGAUAGCUCAACCAGUUUAAUACAACAACAGGAGCAGAAGCCAAGUUUGCUUCCUUUACAGGAUGCCGGGAGUUUAUACUGGGGAUUAAAUGAGCAGCAACGACAAAGCAUCAUUAAUCAACUUGGAUUCAGCAACAACUUGUAUUCAUUUCAGUAGAAGAUCAUCAUUCUUACUAGCUAAGUAGCUAGAAAUCUCUUUUAUUAGAAAACUAAUGCAAAGAUUAUAUGAAGAAAGAGGUGCCAACAAAGCAAGGGAAUUGAAGAGACAUUAUGUUCAAAAAAACACUAAUGAUGAAAAGAAAGAAGAAUUCUCUCUACUUUGUGUCAGCUCCAACAAUUGAGAUAGAAGAAGAAAUUCCUUUACUCCAAAUUGGCUAUGAUUCUUGAUUUUCAAUUCAAAAUAUUUCUUAUUUUUGAAGAAGCCAAAAUCAAUGGAAGCUAUAAAAAAAAUAAAAUAUAGAGAAAAAGAAAGAACAUAAAAUAAAGGACAAAUCAUAUCCAACCAAAUAAGGACCCCCAUAUCUUUUGAAGAUCCUUGUUUAUGUUCCCAUUUGACUAUCAAUUCUGUCAUCAAAAUAGUUUUAGAAACUUGUUACAGUUAAGACCUAACUAGGAUUGGACAAAAUUAUAAAUCUAUAUUUUGUCUAUGUAUUUAUUCAAUGUACCUAGCUAUUUGUUUUAUAUUACGAGUACUUAUCCAUA